rnacentral:piRNA from 1 species
UCCUUAAUAAGUACAAGUGUCUAGGAAAGC